rnacentral:rRNA from 1 species
CAGUAGCCACGGGAAUACGAAGGGGGCUAGCGUUGUUCGGAAUUACUGGGCGUAAAGCGCACGUAGGCGGAUCGAUCAGUCAGGGGUGAAAUCCCAGGGCUCAACCCUGGAACUGCCUUUGAUACUGUCGAUCUGGAGUAUGGAAGAGGUGAGUGGAAUUCCGAGUGUAGAGGUGAAAUUCGUAGAUAUUCGGAGGAACACCAGUGGCGAAGGCGGCUCACUGGUCCAUUACUGACGCUGAGGUGCGAAAGCGUGGGGAGCAAACAGGAUUAGAUACCCCAGUAGUCCCUGUCUCUUAUAC